CAUUGUCCCUGGACCUGCCAGCUCCAAGCUGCACUCCCAGACAUUGCCGGAGCCAUCUCUCCGCCCCACUCCCUGAGCACAGCUUCACUGCAGCAGGAGGGGCCUUGGGCCUUUUAUUUAUUUAAUCUUUUUUCGGUUUGGUGGAUGAAUCAAAAGCUCACGUGAAAGCAAAUUUGGCAAGGACUGGAGUCGGUGUAGUCAGACACACACACAGCUUUGCCAACUCUCCUCAGUCCUCAGCCAUAGCCCACCCCCUCCCCCCAGCGCUCCCUGCACGAUUCCAGCCCUUGACCCUCUCCCCCCCCUCCCCAUCUCCACCACUCACAACACAAAGUGAGCCUCACUAAAAGGGAAGCCAUUUUCGCAAAGGCUGGCCACAUUUGAAACAGGAAAGGGCCGGAGCCAAACUGGGGCCCUUGCUGCAGGGGAAUGGCUGGCAAGUGCUGGAGGGUGUGGGGAAAGAGCUUAUUCUGCUUUGGUGCUGGGCUCCUCUCAGAAUCCCCCACAGCACAGAACAUGGCCACGGUGUCCUCACCACAUGGUGCAGGAAGAAGCCAGCGGCCAUGUUCCCAGUUACGGGGAAAUUUAAAACUCUGCUGUGGCAGCCUGCCCAGUCGGAGGAACAGAACGGCUAUGCCUGUUAUGCCAUAGAAGACUGCACAUAUGGAAUUAGUGGGACGGGACAGGGAAGGGGUUUCCUCCCUCCAUGUGCCUUUUUGAGUGCAGGCAGUGGAGGGAGUGGUGCUUAUGGAAAUCGGGGAGGGCAGGGCUCACAGCCUCCAGCCAGUUUCAGCCAUUUUGUUAUUUUGAGAGAUCGACGUCCUGACAGCACAGCAAAUACAAGUUCACAGUGAUGUUUUAGGGCCAGUAAUGAAGCCAAUGUGUGCUCGGGGUCACUUGAGUUGCACCCUGGUGUUCUCUGGGAUAUUACAAAAGGGGUCUAGAGUGGAGGGAGUGAGCCUACAAAAGGUGCUGGGGUAUACCUCUGAGAUUCUUUGGGGGCAGCCAGUUGGAAAGACAAAAUGUUUUGGCCAGGCCAGCACCUUUAACCAAUGAGCAAUCUCAAGGAUUCCCAAAGCAGGGGUAGGACCUAGUCAAGGCCUAGGGUGUCCCACCAUUGGAAGAAAGUGGGACAAAUCCUAGAGGGUAGCAUAAAUCUGCUGCCUCUGGUCUCCGUGGCACUUCAGGCCUCUCCAUACCAUCUGCUUUUCUGUGUCCUAAAUUGAGCCAGGCAAGGAUCCUGCUUCCUGGCCCAAAGUCCAAAAUAGGGUUGGCUUUGUCUGGGUUCUUGUGCUAAAGGGUUCACUUUGGAGGAGACGGACGGAAGGGUUGUGGGUAUUUUUUUGUAAUUUGGAUUGAGUGUUUGUAUGUGAAAAGGGGAAUGUUGCAAAGAGGAGAACUAAAACUCCUCGUUGAAUGGGCAUUUGUGCUUGAAAGAAGGAGAGGUGAGGGAGAGGUCUCUGUCUCUCAGGUCUAAAUCUAGCCCAGGUUGUUUUGUGGUUGGGGGCAGAAUGGGGCUAUUAUUUAUACUCUCCCAGGGCUUUGCUCAUGGCAAACAGAAAUUUAAUCCUGCUUCUUGAACCGUCUUGCAAGCUAAUCCUAACAGUGUUUACUUAUCAAUUGUAAAUCCCAUUUAUUUCAAUUAUUUAUUAUUAAUUUUUUAAAAAAUUGUGUAGGGGUUCAGGGCAGUGGUGCUUCUAAUGAAGAUUAAUGAAGACCAGCUUAUGCUGUUGACUAUGAGGUCAAUGGUAAACCAAGCAUCAGUCACUGAUGAUCUUCUUACUUUGCUUUUAUCCCCAAGUCCUGGCUGGAGGAAGCUUCUCAUCCAGAUGGCCACAGCCAAGGACUGGUCUCAGCAACCAUCAAGGACUAUAGCAGAUUGGAUGACAUCAUCAUACAAAUAAGAUCUCACUAAGGACACUGUCCCUGGAGUCUCAGUGCAGGAUAGUUACUUCCAUCACUGACAAAGUUUGGACCUCUUUGGAUUGCAACUGUGGGGUCUUCCUGGAUACAUCACUGCCCCACUUACAGCGAUAGCCAGAACUGCUUUCUGCCAACUCCACCUGGUUAGAGAUCUGCCUUCAUAAUUUCAAGGCUAGACUUCUGUCUUCUCUACACUUCUUUGGUUUUAUUUUUUCUGGGUUCCAAUGAUCCAAUCAAAUCUUUAUCACACUCCUUCAGUAUUUCUGUUAGCAGUUCUCUCUCUUCCUCUUUCCAAUCAGCUUGGCAUUCCCCAGGUUCUGCCUUGAUUCCCUUGAUUUUUUACUUUAUAUGUUCUAUUAUUUACUCUUAUGGUAUCCAGUAUCAUUUCUUUGUUGAUGACCUUCAGUUCUACUGGUUUUUGCCUGAUUUUCUUCUUAAGCAAGGGCCACAACAGACCUGAUGCAGGAGAUUUAUAAUUGGUUCUCCCAGUGUUUUCAUUUUUACUUCAAAUCAGCCCCAGGGGAUGGGGAUGUGUUUCCAAUUUUGAGUGGAGCAGUGAUGCUGGAGAAGGGUCUGUUUAACCCUUUCUCCCACACAAUUUUCCUGAUCUAAAUUGUGAGGUUUGCCCUUUUCAAGCAAAGGAGAAAAUCCUACCUGCCUAAAAAUAACUCUCCUAAUGCGGACAGCGAGAGUGCACUGUGACAGUAGCGGCCCGGCUCCUCUGACCCCCCGGACCGGGUCCAGUGCUCCAGUGUAGCGUGGUUCUGGCCUCUGCACAUGUGAGGUGCCCUAUCUCCAUCCCCAUUAGGAGUUUUUUUUAGGCAGGUAGGGUUCCCCCUGUACAAGCAUGCCCCCUCAAGCCAAAUUGGACCAGUUCUGAACCGGUUCAGCCUAGUUUGAUCCUCAGACCAAACCAUGGGCCAGUUCAACUUGAAUUAGAGCCCAACUGCUGGAAUCAGUUCUGUGCACAUCCCUACUUCUUAUUGUCUUCUGAACUAAGUCCACAGUCCUGGUUAUUACGGUCUAUGCAACUGAACAGCUCCAGCUAAUCAGAAAUGAUUGUUUUCUUUUAUGUUAGAAGGUGAAAUACUUUCAUUUUUUUAAAACUCCAUAACCUUCUCCCAGAUUUGCACUCACUGAUUCUUGAUGAAUAUUCAUUUUAAGGGGUGGGGGAGGAAAGAGGGCAAACUUGGCACAGUGUGCCUACCCCCACUUUCACAUUAGAAGUUCGGGUGUGUGUGUCAGAUGUUUCCCACUGCUGACUGUAGAUGAACAACUGUGCCAGUACUAGACUUCCUAGUGUAUCUGAAUAUUAUUAUUAUUAUUAUUAUUGAAGCUUGCUCAAAGAAGGAUCUGAUAUCCCAAGAAUGUCAUAAUGAUAUGACAAGUCUGGCCAAGUUGAUGCUCUUAAUACGAUACUUAAUUAUUAGCUAAUUGCAAAAUGCAAGGAGUUACUUCUAUUACUACUACUAACAACAACAAUAAUAUUACUACACAUGUUUAUCCUAUACAGAAAUGUGAAAAGUUUUAAUAUAAAGCCAACCCUGCCCCCUCAAAGCAUACUAGUAAAUCAUUCUAUAGUGGCUGACACCCUGAGUAAUGAAGCACUUGCAGAAUGACGUUGUGCAAGCACAAAGCUUUUGCAACAGUGACUUGUGCUAAAUCUGGUGCUUCCAACUAGUAUUAUGCUUUGGCAAGCAUGCUCAUGCAACAGUUGCACAACUUGUGGCACACUUAAUUUAUUUAAAAGGUAAUUUUAAAAGGGACUGCUUUGGUCACCCUGUGAGAUGACAUGUGUAGAGAGAGAGACAGGGGGAGUACAACUCUGUUAAUUCUCUUAGACCUCUCAGUGGCUUUUGAUACCAUUAACCAUGGUAUCCUUUUGGAAAGGCUGGCCAAGUUGGAUGUGGGAGGCACUGCUUGGAGGUGAUUCCACUCCUACCUUGAGGUCUGUUUCCAAAAUAUGGUGCUAGGGGACUACUGCUGAACACCUUGGCAUUUCUGCUUUGCAGUUCUGCAUGGUUCCAUUCCACAGGGUUCCAUGCUUUGGGGUUCCACAGGGUUCCCUAUGCUGUUUAACAUCUACAUGAAAUUGCUGGGAGAGGUCAUCAGGAGAUUUGGCCUGAGGUGUCAUCAGUAUGCGGAUGAUACUCAGUUGUAUCUCUCUUGAUACAAUAUGAUACUCAGUUGUAUCUCACCCCUGCUGACUUGGCAAAGAGGCACCUUUUAAAAUGGUGAUUCUCUUUAUUUAGCGGUGGAGGAGUAACUGGCCCUGUCCACCCCCAGCACAGUACCUCGGGUGACUGUUGCUGGUGUCUACCUUAUGUUUCUUUUUCGAUUGUGAGCCCUUUGGGGACAGGGAUCCAUCUUAUUUGUUUGUUAUUUCUCUGUGUAAACUGUGUAAAUUGAAUAAAAAACAACAUCAAUAAUAAUAAUUUUUCAUCAGACGCAGGUGAGGCAGUUGACUGCCCUGAAUCAGUGCCAGGAUGCAGUAAUGGACUGGAUGAGGGUGAACAAGUUGCAACUCAGUCCAGACAAGACAUAAGUACUGUUGGCCGGUGGUUCCUCUGCCCAUGUGAAUGAUGUUCAGCCUAUUCUCGAUGGAGUUGCGCGCACCACAAAUACACACACAACCCCCGAAGGACCAGGUUCACCAUCUGGAGGUGCUCAUCAAUCCAGCACUGUCUCUAUAGAGCAGGCCUGCUCAACUUCGGCCCUCCUGCAGAUGUUGGCCUACAAUUCCCAUAAUUCCUGGCUAUUGGCUGCUGUGGCUGAGAAUUAUGGGAGUUGUAGUCCAAAAACAGCUGGGGGGCCUAAGUUGAGCAGGCCUGCUAUAGAGGCUCAAGUGGCCUCUGUGGCUUAGAGUGCCUUUUAUCAGCUUCAGCUGAUACACCAGAUGUGACCAUACAUUGAUAGAGAUAUCUUGGCCACUGUUACUCAGGCUCUGGUAACCUCUUGCUUAGAUUACUGCAAUGUAUUGUAUUUGGGGCUGCCUUUGAAAAUGGUCCAGAAACUGCAGUUGCUACAAAACAGGGAUGCAAGAUUAUUAACUGGGACUGGACGUUUUGGGCAUAUUACGCCAGUGCUUCGUCAGCUGCACUGGCUCCCAGUCUGUUUCUGGGCCCAGUUCAAAGUACUGGUUCUAACCUUUAAAGCCCUAAAUGGCUUUGGACCAGGUUACCUGAGAAAGAGAGCCUUGCCCCAUUUGUCCUGACUUGGACCUUAAGAACUUCUCCGGAGGCCCUCCUCCAGGUGCCCCUACCGAAUGAGGUGAGGUGGGUGGCUACUAGGGAGAGGGCAUUUUUGGUGGUUGCACCCUGUUUAUGGAACAGCCUCCCCAGUGAGGUUCAUCUGGCAUCAUUACUUUGUUCUUUUAGAUGUCAGGUAGAGACCUUUCUGUUCACUCAAGCCUUUUAAAUUUGAUUUUUAAAACUGACUUUUAAAAAUUAAUUAAUUAAUUAUUGUUAUUGUUAUUAUUUUGGUGUGUUGUGAUUUCUUGUGUUUUAUGCAUUUUUACUCUAUGAGGCUAUUCACACACGCUUGCAAAACUGGGCUAAGGGAGUCCAGCCCAGUUUUGCAUGCACGUGUGGACUGCCAGAAUAGGACCCAAUCCCAGUGGCUACAUGGAGGCAAACCCACCUAAUUAGCUCCCUUCAGAAUGAGGUUAAAGGAGGGAGUGCUCCCUUAACCUCAUUUUUCUGCUUGUGUGUCAGCCAUGGCUGCUUGCAGCCACGGCUGGCACACUCAGGGGUGAGGAGGGAUCCCAAUAAUGCACCACACGGUACAUUAUUGGAGCUUUGGGGGGCUGGGGGGCUUCCCUGCACCCUGACCCUCAGAGCUGCAGAGGGAGCUGCUGCUCACCCGGACAGGGAAGGAAAGGGGAUCAUCUGUAGGGAGGGUGAGUGUAACCCGCUGUCCCUGCAGAUCGCCCUAGAGUUCUUCUCAUCGAUCGUGAGAAGAGCUCCAAAGUUUUAAUGCUGUGUUGUGAACCACCCAGAGAAUAAUUUGUUAUGAGGUGGCUAAUAAAUAAAGUAUAAUAAUAAUAAUAAUAAUAAUAAUAAUAAUAAUAAUAAUAAUGGGUGGCUAAUAAUAAAGUUAUUAAAUAAUAAUAAUUAUUAUUAUUUAUUAAUUAUUAUUGUUGUUGCUGUUGUUAAUAAACAAGACCAAAAUAAUCCCCGUGGUAAUUGGCGCCCUAGGUGCAAUUCCAAAACAACUUGAAGAGCACCUCAACACCAUAGGGGCCACAGAAAUCAGCACCAGCCAAUUACAAAAAGCAACUUUACUGGGAACAGCCUAUAUUCUGCGACGAUAUCUAUAAUAAUAACAGCAACAACAUUGACAAUAAAAUUCAGCCAACCCAGGUCCUUGGGAAGGACUUGAUGUCUGGAUAAAACAAACCAGUCAAUAACAUCUGUCUGACUGUGUAAAUUAAUAAUAAUAUGGGGUGGAUAAUAAGAAAGUUAUUAAAUAAUAAUAAUUUAUUUAUUAUUGUUGUUGUUGCUGUUGUUAAUAAACUUUUGUUCACAAGUGCUA